rnacentral:tRNA from 1 species
GCCUCUUAAGCAUUGCUGGCGAUGCAACUGCCUUGUAAGCAGAAGAUAAUAGGUUCGAUUCCUAUCAGAGGCUCCA